CACGGCUGUUCACUGGUAAUGAUCGAAACAUGUACUGUCAGGAAUAGGGGGUUCAUGAGAUGUGGUUGCUGGUAGAUAGCAACUAUCAUAUAAACAUAAACCUGUGUGGUCUGGAGGUGGACACAUUGAGCACUGAAAGUUUUAUAUGUAAAACUUUAUAUUUAGCAAUGUAUUUUAAAAUAUAACACAUCAUUCUGUGUCAAUUACUACAAAAAUAGCCUUUUGAAAUCAGAUGACUUUUCUCAUACAUGCCAUACACUCCACCCUUACUCUUGGUACCCCAUUUGUAAAAAUCCUGGAAAAACCCUUGUACAUGUGCUAGCUUUUUGGCAUACAUAUUAAGUGUCCACGAGGACAUAAAAACUAUUUAAAAGUUUUCUAAUUCUUCAAACUUCCCUAAAGUUUUUUUUUUUCUACCAGCAUGUUUACCGUUUUCAUGUCACUUUUUUCAUAAUGCCCCGGGUUUCAUUAACUGGGAAAGGAAAAUAAAAAGGAAAAAGACGUAAAAAAAAGAAAAAAAAAAAAGCAGUUUUCUUAUUUUGCUCACCGUGACCGAAAGAGAAACAGCUAACCACACUCCCGGCAUCCAGUCGUUUCGCUACCGUGGGAUUUAAAGUAUUUUUCAUCGCUUUCGUCGGUACCCACCCUUGACCCUGACACCUGAAAGCGGUGGGAUGCACCCCGACACAUCCCACUGGUUUUUUGGAGACGACGGCCACGUGACCGAGGUAGCGGCAGCAUCCGCGCGCACACCGCCGCUGUUCGUUUGAUAGCAUCCACAGCGCCGGACGGAGAAGAGAGCGGGACAGAGAGAGAGAGAAAAAGAGAGGGAGAUAGGAAGAAACAGUCGUCGAGGGAAGACGAACAAAAUCUCCGUCUUGCUGACUCCUUCACCAGACACGGCGGGCACACCAUGGACGGCUAUGGCCGGACCGAAGAUGAGCUGUUCUCCUCCUGCCUCGUGAACCUCACCUGGGAGACGUGCUACGAGCAGCCGUGUUUCAGAUUGACCCCACCUCUCGCCCUAUGGUAGCUGGGCUCCAGCCCCGCACCCAUGACCCUGAUUAGGAUAGGCAGAAGAAAAUGGAUGGAUCCAUUUAUUGGAGUAAGAUUUGUGGCUGUUUGUGUUGAAAGUUACAAUUUUUCCUUGAUGAACUCUCCCAAAAAUGUAUUUCAGCCUUAUCUACAGAGUCUCCCUCGCUGUUAAAAUGAACGGUGGCAGACGGGGUUUCCAGGUCUUGCGGUGCAAUCGCACCUAAAAUGCAGGAACACUUCCCGUGCACACCUUUCCCUGUGUUGAACAAUCUCUUUCCACCUUUU
rnacentral:lncRNA from 1 species